UACGAAGGGGGCUAGCGUUGUUCGGAUUUACUGGGCGUAAAGCGCACGUAGGCGGAUUGCUAAGUCAGGGGUGAAAUCCCGGGGCUCAACCUCGGAACUGCCUUUGAUACUGACAAUCUCGAGUCCGAUAGAGGUGGGUGGAAUUCCUAGUGUAGAGGUGAAAUUCGUAGAUAUUAGGAAGAACACCGGUGGCGAAGGCGGCCCACUGGAUCGGUACUGACGCUGAGGUGCGAAAGCGUGGGGGAGCAAACAGG
rnacentral:rRNA from 1 species